rnacentral:rRNA from 1 species
CCCUUAGAUGUUCUGGGCCGCACGCGCGCUACACUGACGAAGUCAGCGAGCAUGUCCUACGCCGACAGGUGCGGGGAAUCUUGUCAAACUUUGUCGUGAUGGGGAUUGAUUAUUGAAAUUCUUGAUCAUCAACGAGGAAUUCCUAGUAAGCGCAAGUCAGCAGCUUGCGUUGAUUACGUCCCUGCCCUUUGUACACACCGCCCGUCGCUACUACCGAUUGAAUGGUUUAGUGAGAUCUUCGGAUUGGCGCCACUGCGGCUCAGCAAUGGGCUCGGUGGAUGCCGAAAAGUUGAUCAAACUUGAUCAUUUAGAGGAAGUAAAAGUCGUAACA